CCUACGGGUGGCAGCAGUGGGGAAUAUUGCACAAUGGGGGAAACCCUGAUGCAGCAACGCCGCGUGCGUGAAGACGUAUUUCGGUAUGUUAAGCUCUAUCUGCAGGGAAGUAGAUGACGGUACCUGAUUAAGAAGCCACGGCUAAAUACGUGCCAGCAGCCGCGGUAAUACGUAGGGGGCAAGCGUUAUCCGGAUUUACUGGGUGUAAAGGGAGCGUAGACGGCAUAGCAAGUCUGAAGUGAAAGCCCAAGGCUCAACCAUGGGACUGCUUUGAAUACUGUUAAGCUAGAGUGCUGGAGGGGUAAGCGGAAUGUCUAGUGUAGCGGUGAAAUGCGUAGAUAUUAGGAAGAACACCGAUGGCGAAGGCGGCUUACUGGACAGUAACUGACGUUGAGGCUCGAAAGCGUGGGGAGCAAACAGGAUUAGAUACCCCUGUAGUC
rnacentral:rRNA from 1 species